rnacentral:rRNA from 1 species
GAUGAACGCUGGCGGCGUGCCUAAUACAUGCAAGUCGAGCGAACAGACGAGGAGCUUGCUCCUCUGACGUUAGCGGCGGACGGGUGAGUAACACGUGGAUAACCUACCUAUAAGACUGGGAUAACUUCGGGAAACCGGAGCUAAUACCGGAUAAUAUAUUGAACCGCAUGGUUCAAUAGUGAAAGACGGUUUUGCUGUCACUUAUAGAUGGAUCCGCGCCGCAUUAGCUAGUUGGUAAGGUAACGGCUUACCAAGGCAACGAUGCGUAGCCGACCUGAGAGGGUGAUCGGCCACACUGGAACUGAGACACGGUCCAGACUCCUACGGGAGGCAGCAGUAGGGAAUCUUCCGCAAUGGGCGAAAGCCUGACGGAGCAACGCAGCGUGAGUGAUGAAGGUCUUCGGAUCGUAAAACUCUGUUAUUAGGGAAGAACAAAUGUGUAAGUAACUAUGCACGUCUUGACGGUACCUAAUCAGAAAGCAACGGCUAACUACGUG